rnacentral:rRNA from 1 species
CUACGAGGGGCUCCAGUGAGGAAUUUUGCGCAAUGGGGGAAACCUUGACGCAGCAACGCCGCGUGAGCGAAGAAGGCCCUCGGGUCGUAAAGCUCUGUCAAGUGGGAAAAAAAUUUUUUGAUCAAUAGUCAAAAGACUUGAUGGUACCACUGGAGGAAGCACCGGCUAACUCCGUGCCAGCAGCCGCGGUAAUACGGAGGGUGCAAGCGUUGUUCGGAUUUACUGGGCGUAAAGAGCGUGUAGGCGGUUUAGCAAGUCAGAUGUGAAAGCCCUGGGCUCAACCCGGGAAGUGCAUUUGAAACUGCUUCACUAGAGUAUGGGAGAGGAGAUUGGAAUUCCUGGUGUAGAGGUGAAAUUCGUAGAUAUCAGGAGGAACACCCGUGGCGAAGGCGAUUCUCUGGACCAAUACUGACGCUGAGACGCGAAAGCGUGGGGAGCAAACAGGAUUAGAUACCCGAGUAGUC